rnacentral:rRNA from 1 species
CGGGACGGGUGAGUAAUGUCUGGGAAACUAGCCUGAUGGAGGGGGAUAACUACUGGAAACGGUAGCUAAUACCGCAUAAUGUCGCAAGACCAAAGAGGGGGACCUUCGGGCCUCUUGCCAUCGGAUGUGCCCAGAUGGGAUUAGCUAGUAGGUGGGGUAAGGCUCACCUAGGCGACGAUCCCUAGCUGGUCUGAGAGGAUGACCAGCCACACUGGAACUGAGACACGGUCCAG